GUUCGAGCAGUGGUUAAGGUUCAAGCCCUGCCAGCUGGUCAGGUGACAGGAAGGGGAAGGUCAGAACCAUAUAAGCCACAAGUGGAGAAGAACAGGGAGGCAGCAGAGAGGGAGACUCCUUUUGACUAUGGAGCAGCUGCAGCAGCCUCCUUGGGAAGAAUAUGCCAUGCUGUGAGACAGAAGCACAAGUACAUACAAACAUGGCUACCAAAUACGUUGCUGAAACAUGGAAGAUGCCAAAUUUUCGCCGAUUUUGGAUUCAAACUUAAUUGCUGAACAACAAGAAAGAUUUCUACAUCUCCCUGCCUUUCUGCCAUCUGACACCACCAGGGAAUGAAUCCUGCCUUAUCUGCACAUCAAAGAGCAGCUCACAAAGACACUCAUGGACCUAGAGUUUGAAUCAGUAAUUCCAUUGAUUAGCACAGAGAUUCUCACCGAUGGAACUGAAGACAAGUUUGACUCUAACUAUACCGGUAAUUACCUCAAUAUUCAAAACCGGUAUUUCAAAUACUCAAAUCUAUUAUUUGACAAGACUUGACUCAUCAAACUGGAUGAAAUUCAUUGAUCAGGAAAAAGAGCUGGCAACUGAAUCAAUCUAGACUGUAAAGGUCAGAAUUAAGCCUGUAUUAAUUCUUCACUGGAAAUAAAUGUGCUCAUA